UUCAGUCGGAACUAAACGCUUGACAUGUAAAGGGCGUCACAAGUUUAAACAAUUUUAAAUUUUAAACGAUCAUAAAUUUUUUUUUAUAAAAUCCAAAAGUGAAACUAUUUCUGGGUUUUUGAUGUUCGUCGAAAUGAGUUGAGCUGGUUCAGCUCUAUGUUUCAACCGUAGCAGAAAUAUAAUACUUUUAAUUGUUAUUAAAAAUGAGUGAAAAAAUGAGUGAAAACCCUGUAAUUAGUUAGUUUUUCCAUCAGACCUUGGUUUGAAUGUCGUCGUAGAAGCCUGCCGACGAGAAAGACUGUUUAAUAAUGUCGUCGUUCACUAGCUACAAAUUUGAUGAUUUAGAAAUCACGUAGAAAUAAUCAUCAUAUUGAUUUAAAACAAAGAAGUAAAGUGAGACAACAAAAUAUGUUGACGUUAAUUGAGUCAAUGACGAAAUCAAAGAGUGAAUACACAAAAUAGUGAAGGAAAAGAGAUAAAGCUUAAAAGCAGUGGAACCUGAAAGUUUUGAAACCAAAGAGUUUUGAAACAAAAGAGUUUUGAAACCAAAGAGUUUUGAAACAAAAGAGUUCUGAAACCAAAGAGUGAUGAAACCAAAUUGUGCUGAAACCAAAGAGUGGGGAAGCGAAAUUGUGAUGAAAAUGUUAAGAGUGGUAAAACCAUUGAUAUGAUGAAACCAAUCAGUUUAAAGCCAAGAGCGAUUACAAAAAAAUUGUGAAACCAAAGAGAUGAAACCAAAUUGUGAUGAAACCAAAGAGUUGUGAAACCAUGGGUGAGGAAACUUUGAUGAGUUUUGAAAGAGUUAUUUAAAAAAAUGGCGAGUGAUAAAGCUUCUGCAGAGAUUGAUGAAUUGAUUAAAUUGAUUAAGAACUAAUCUUAAAAGAAAAAAUAGAUGCCAAGAAAUAAACGGUGUGUUCAGCAAGCAUUAACAGCUCCUUGAAAAGAAUAAUUUUUGAAUUCCGCUAGAAACUGGAUUGCAGGUGUCCACAAUGAUAGACACAAAUGAAGAAGAAAAAAACUGACUAGAUGUGGAUGAUUUAUUUGGUGCACUGUCCCGUUUCCAUUGCAGUACAUCUUGCUCUAGUAAAAGUUGGCCCAGUGCUUCAAAUCAAACAAAGAGAAAAAACAAAGGAGCGGCUGUAAUCAACUUUUGCAGCAAAAGAAGCUUCGAAUGGCUGAAUCCAAGCUUAAGCAUGGAAGAGCUGAAAAUCAGCUUGAGUCAUAUGGCUGCUAGCCAUCUGUACCUUAGUAUAUUCACAUCAAUGUUUUUAGUAAUUAUUUACUAACUGUUAAAACCAGAGUGAAUUCGACCUCUUACUCUUUUGUAGCCUUGGCUGUAAGCUACUUUGAACAAUUGGCUACAAGCCUGCAACCCUGAUUAAUUAUGUCAGUAUUAAAUUGUUAAUAUUUUCGUUCUAAGUAGCAUCGUUUAAGUAGCAUCGUUCAAGUAGCAUCGUUCAAGUAGCAUCGUUAAAUUAGCAUCGCUCAACUCAUGUUUUAAGUAGCAUCGUUCAAGUCAUGUUUUAAGAACAGCUCAAGCUCAACAAAAUUUUAGUGAAAACAAAGAAAAAAUUCUCUAAUUCUAAGUGAUUCUAUGUAAAACGAGUGAAAAAAAAAUCAAGCUUAUAAAGUUUGUCUCAAAAGUUUUAAUGUUCCAGUCUCUCAAAUUGAAUUAUUGCGCUACAUUGGUGCGCUGGAAAGAAUCAAGUUAAACGUCCAAAGGGCACGAGACUGACCCAAUUCACUAAAUAAGUAAUAACAUAAGUGUAUUUAUAUUUUGUUAUAUGUCGUCUUCCUAUUCCAUUGUUUUCUGGUUAUCAUUGCAUAUUUUUAAAAUUUAUCUACUGCCUAAUUUACAAUAAAAUUUAACGUAAUUACUGCUCCAUUAUGUAUUAAGAAUUUGCUUUAUAUUUAUUGAUUGCUUAUUUGUAAAUACAUGUUUAGUUUAUGAUUUUGUUAAACAUGGAUUAUGGGCACUAACAAGUUGUAUGCCACGAUUUUAUUUACACUGCGACCCCUUUUUUGACCUAAAUUCGAAUUUCAACUGUUGGUCUGUUUGUGUCCAAUAUAAGCCGAAACAACAGAACCUUUGGGUCCAAAGAAGAUAGAUUUCUGAAGAUAAGAUGUUUAUUUUUACUAAAAAUAUGUAUCGAUUAUUUCAUUGAAAAAUAGCUUGAAAAGUCUAAAGACACAUUCAAAAACUUCAAAACACGUAGAAAAACAUCAAAAUACGUAAAAUUCUAAAAACUCGGGGAUAAAUUUAAAAACGUUGCUCAGCUCUAGGUAUAUCUGCUUGAUCCAAGGAAUCAUAACACACACGUUUUUACCUGUGCUUUUAUAUGUUUUUGUACACUCAACCACCUUUUAUUAUUGGUUAUGUAGGUAUAAAUUGCAACCACCUUGUAUUAUUGGUUAUGUAGGUAGAGAUAGCAACCACCUUGUAUGAUUGGUUAUGUAGGUAGAGAUUGCAACCACCUUGUAUUAUUGGUUAUGUAGGUAGAGAUUGCAGCCACCUUGUAUUAUUAGUUAUGUAGGUAGAGAUUGAAACCACCUUGUAUUAUUGUGUAAGUAGGUAGAGAUUGCAACCAGUAUUAUUGGUUAUGUAGGUAGAGAUUGCAACCACCUUGUAUUAUUGGUUAUGUAGGUAGAGAGUGCAAACACCUUGUAUUAUUGGUUAUGUAGGUAGAGAUUGAAACCACCUUGUAUUAUUGUGUAAGUAGGUAGAGAUUGCAACCAGUAUUAUUGGUUAUGAAGGUAGAGAUUGCAACCACCUUGUAUUAUUGGAUAUGUUUGUAGAGAGUGCAACCACCUUGUAUUAUUGGUUAUGUAGGUAGAGAUAGCAACCACCUUGUAUGAUUGGUUAUGUAGGUAGAGAUUGCAACCACCUUGUAUGAUUGGUUAUGUAGGUAGAGAUUGCAACCACCUUGUAUUAUUGGUUAUGUAGGUAGAGAUUGCAGCCACCUUGUAUCAUUAGUUAUGUAGGUAGAGAUUGAAACCACCUUGUAUUAUUGUGUAAGUAGGUAGAGAUUGCAACCAGUAUUAUUGGUUAUGUAGGUAGAGAUUGCAACCACCUUGUAUUAUUGGUUAUGUAGGUAGAGAUUUCCCCCUCCCUUCACCAUCCCUUUCUUCGUUUAUUUCCCCCCCUCCCCUCCACCAUUCCUUUUUCCUCCCUAAUUUUUGCACUUUGCACACCUGUCUUUGCACGUAUAUAUUUGCAUGCAUGUGUGGUAUGUUUAAAACCGGUUUUCUUUUAUAAAACACGAUUUUCUUUGUGGCUUGUUUUCUUGUUUUCAAUACUAGUGCACUUCAUCGAUCAGACACAAAUUGAAACGUGUCUUUUUCAAAUGUUGUCUUAUAUUGUAGUGAUAUGUGAUAAUAUAUUAAUCUCAAAGCGAUAUAUUAAUUAUCUGAAUAUCUUGUUUUUAUCUUGUAAAGAUGA
rnacentral:lncRNA from 1 species